GAUGAACGCUGGCGGCGUGCCUAAUACAUGCAAGUCGAGCGAACAGAUGAGGAGCUUGCUCCUCUGACGUUAGCGGCGGACGGGUGAGUAACACGUGGAUAACCUACCUAUAAGACUGGGAUAACUUCGGGAAACCGGAGCUAAUACCGGAUAAUAUAUUUAACCGCAUGGUUCAAUAUUGAAAGACGGUUUUGCUGUCACUUAUAGAUGGAUCCGCGCCGCAUUAGCUAGUUGGUAAGGUAACGGCUUACCAAGGCAACGAUGCGUAGCCGACCUGAGAGGGUGAUCGGCCACACUGGAACUGAGACACGGUCCAGACUCCUACGGGAGGCAGCAGUAGGGAAUCUUCCGCAAUGGGCGAAAGCCUGACGGAGCAACGCCGCGUGAGUGAUGAAGGUCUUCGGAUCGUAAAACUCUGUUAUUAGGGAAGAACGAAUGUGUAAGUAACUAUGCACGUCUUGACGGUACCUAAUCAGAAAGCCACGGCUAACUACGUG
rnacentral:rRNA from 1 species